AUUGAACGCUGGCGGCAGGCCUAACACAUGCAAGUCGAACGCGAAAGUCCUUCGGGAUGAGUAGAGUGGCGGACGGGUGAGUAACGCGUAGGAAUCUGUCCGGUAGUGGGGGAUAACGUUCCGAAAGGAACGCUAAUACCGCAUACGCCCCACGGGGGAAAGGGGGGGAUCCUUCGGGACCUCCCGCUACCGGAGGAGCCUGCGUCGGAUUAGCUAGUUGGUAGGGUAAAGGCCUACCAAGGCGACGAUCCGUAGCUGGUCUGAGAGGAUGAUCAGCCACACCGGAACUGAGACACGGUCCGGACUCCUACGGGAGGCAGCAGUGGGGAAUAUUGCGCAAUGGGCGAAAGCCUGACGCAGCCAUGCCGCGUGUGUGAAGAAGGCCUUCGGGUUGUAAAGCACUUUCAAUUGGAAGGAAAACCUCGAAGCUAAUACCUUCGAGUUUGACAUUACCUUUAGAAGAAGCACCGGCUAACUCCGUGCCAGCAGCCGCAGUAACAC
rnacentral:rRNA from 1 species